rnacentral:rRNA from 1 species
UACGGAGGGGAGCUAGCUGUUGUGAAUUACUGGGCGUAAAGCGCACGUAGGCGGCUUUGUAAGUUAGAGGUGAAAGCCUGGAGCUCAACUCCAGAAUUGCCUUUAAGACUGCAUCGCUUGAAUCAGGAGAGGUGAGUGGAAUUCCGAGUGUAGAGGUGAAAUUCGUAGAUAUUCGGAAGAACACCAGUGGCGAAGGCGGCUCACUGGACUGGUAUUGACGCUGAGGUGCGAAAGCGUGGGGAGCAAACAGG